GAUGGGAAACAGGUUAAUAUUCCUGUACUUGGUGUUACUGCGAAGGGGGGACGGAGAAGGCUAUGUCGGCCGGGCGACGGUUGUCCCGGUUUAAGCGUGUAGGCUGACUUUCCAGGCAAAUCCGGAAGGUUAAGGCUGAGGCGUGAUGACGAGGCACCACGGUGCUGAAGUGACAAAUGCCCUGCUUCCAGGAAAAGCCUCUAAGCAUCAGGUAACAUCAAAUCGUACCCCAAACCGACACAGGUGGUCAGGUAG
rnacentral:rRNA from 1 species